AAUAGAUACCCUGGUAGUCCACGCCGUAAACGAUGAGUGCUAAGUGUUAGAGGGUUUCCCGCCCUUUAGUGCUGCAGCUAACGCAUUAAGCACUCCGCCUGGGGAGUACGGCCGCAAGGCUGAAACUCAAAGGAAUUGACGGGGGCCCGCACAAGCGGUGGAGCAUGUGGUUUAAUUCGAAGCAACGCGAAGAACCUUACCAGGUCUUGACAUCCUCUGCCAACCCUAGAGAUAGGGCGUUCCCCUUCGGGGGACAGAGCGACAGGUGGUGCAUGGUUGUCGUCAGCUCGUGUCGUGAGAUGUUGGGUUAAGUCCCGCAACGAGCGCAACCCUUGAUCUUAGUUGCCAGCAUUCAGUUGGGCACUCUAAGGUGACUGCCGGUGACAAACCGGAGGAAGGUGGGGAUGACGUCAAAUCAUCAUGCCCCUUAUGACCUGGGCUACACACGUGCUACAAUGGAUGGUACAAAGAGUUGCGAACCCGCGAGGGUAAGCGAAUCUCAUAAAGCCAUUCUCAGUUCGGAUUGUAGG
rnacentral:rRNA from 1 species